rnacentral:tRNA from 1 species
CAAAGAAUAGUUUAAUUAAGAAUACUAGCUUUGGGAGUUAGCAGUGAGGGUUUAAAUCCCUUUUCUUUGA